rnacentral:rRNA from 1 species
UACGGGGGGGGCAAGCGUUGUUCGGAAUUACUGGGCGUAAAGGGCUCGUAGGUGGCCAACUAAGUCAGACGUGAAAUCCCUCGGCUUAACCGGGGAACUGCGUCUGAUACUGGAUGGCUUGAGUUUGGGAGAGGGAUGCGGAAUUCCAGGUGUAGCGGUGAAAAUGCGUAGAUAUCUGGAGGAACACCGGUGGCGAAGGCGGCAUCCUGGACCAACACUGACACUGAGGAGCGAAAGCCAGGGGAGCAAACGGG